rnacentral:rRNA from 1 species
UACAGAGGGUGCGAGCGUUAAUCGGAAUUACUGGGCGUAAAGCGUGCGUAGACGGUUAUUUAAGUCGGGUGUGAAAGCCCCGGGCUCAACCUGGGAAUUGCAUUCGAGACUGAAUAGCUAGGGUACGGUAGAGGGAAGUGGAAUUUCCGGUGUAGCGGUGAAAUGCGUAGAUAUCAGGAGGAACACCAAUUGCGAAGGCAGCUCGCUGGGACGUAACUGACGCUGAGACGCGAAAGCGUGGGGAGCAAACAGG